rnacentral:rRNA from 1 species
AGUCUGGUGCCAGCAGCUGCGGUAAUACCAGCUCCAAUAGCGUAUAUUAAAGUUGUUGCAGUUAAAAAGCUCGUAGUUGGACUUGUGUGCGCUGUCCGCGGGUGGCCUGCGCCCAGAAGGGCGUUUCGGUUCGGCCCCGGUGGCGCCUUGAAAUCUGCAGCUGGGGGGACGUUGGCCUUAACUGGUCGGCGACCGCACGCCGGCUGCUCGGUUACUGUGAGAAAAUUAGAGUGUUCAAGGCAGGCAUUGGGUGCAAUUGAAUACAUUAGCAUGGAAUAAUAAAAUAUGGCUCCUGCCGUAUUUUGUUGGUUUUGACUGGUGGGAGUAAUGAUUGAUAGGGACGGUUGGGGGUGCUAGUAUUGAGCGGCCAGAGGUGAAAUUCAUGGAUUCGCUCAAGACUAACUUAUGCGAAAGCAUUCACCAAGGACGUCCUCUUUAAUCAAGAACGAAAGUUGGGGGAUCGAAGACGAUCAGAUACCGUCGUAGUCUCAACCAUAAACUAUGUCGACUUGGGAUCGGCGGUAGUUUUUUCAUUAAGACACUGUCGGGACCACGGGAGAAAUCAAAGUGUCUGGACUCUGGGGGAAGUAUGGUCGCAAGGCUGAAACUUGAAGGAAUUGACGGAAGGGCACCACCAGGAGUGGAGCCUGCGGCUUAAUUUGACCCAACACGGGGAAACUUACCAGGUCCAGAGAUGUAGAGGAUUGACAGAUUGAAGCUCUUUCUUGAUCACUUCGGUGGUGGUGCAUGGCCGUUCUUAGUUGGUGGAGUGAUUUGUCUGGUUAAUUCCGUUAACGAACGAGACCUCAGCCUGCUAGUGUAGUCGGCUGGAUUGCCUUUGGCGAUCCGUGAUUUCGACUUCUUAGAGGGACAAUCGACGCGCAGUCGAUGGAAGUUUGAGGCAAUAACAGGUCUGUGAUGCCCUUAGAUGUUCUGGGCCGCACGCGCGCUACACUGCUGGGCUCAGCGAGUUUUACUUGGCCGAGAGGCCCGGUUAAUCUUGUAAAAUCCCAGCGUGCUUGGGCUCGCCUCCUGCAACUGGAGGCGCCAACGAGGAAUUCCUAGUAGACGCAGGUCAUCAACCUGCAUCGAUUACGUCCCUGCCCUUUGUACACACCGCCCGUCGUUCCAUAAGAGUGAGGCAUCCGGUGAAUUCUCGGGAGAGCCUGGGCGUGGCCAGCAAUGGUCUGCUCGGGUUUGAACUUGCAUAAACUUGGUGCCUAUGAUUAGGG